CAGCUCCCAUGAUGAUCGAAAGCAGAGGGAGAGACUUCAACUCUCCGGAUACAAAAUAUAUACCCAAAGGCACGCCCCCAGGGACCCACCUCCUCCAGCCACGCCCUGCCUGUCUUCAGGAUUAACCACUCGGUUAUUCCCAUCAGGAAACCCAAUCAUUUCUCCUCUAAACCUUCUUGCUUGACUCACACAUGAGAUUUUGGGGACACCUCAUAUCCAAACCAUAACAUUAGGUCUUCCCUUUCUCUUUCUCUCCACAGCCAUCAUCUUUGGGAGAUUUGAUACACCUGCAUCUGGUUUUCUUCAGGCUCCUGCAGGCUGGGUGUCAUCCCAACCACGUCAGUGGAAGUGUGCUCACCAGGGUCACUACGGACCUCCAUGGCACUGAUUCAGUGGACACUUUUCUGUCCUCAUCCUUGAUAUUUCUAUGACAUUUGGCACAGUGGUCUACACACAAGGAUUACUGUCUGGUCAUGCUUAGCCCAUGCUACCAGUUCCAGAGCAGGCUGCCGGCUCUCAAGAUGGAGUUCUUCAGGCCUUCUGUCCCAUUCUGUUACGGCAGCUCUGGGAUUCAGGCACCACAUCUUCUUUAUCCAUGCACGGACACUGAAGUUGACUCCUGGCUGUGGUGAACUGGGCUACAAUGGAGACAGUUUUCGGCGGACACAAACAUCUUUCUUUGUAUGCGGUGCUGAGGAUCGAACCUAGGCCGUAUGCAUGCCAGGAGAGAUGUGAUGUGGGAGCAGAGAUGGGAAAAGAGACCCAGCCCGGAGCCUUGACAGACGGCAGGUACAAACAUCCUCGAAGAGUGUUGGUGCAUGUGGAGAAGGUGCAGGUUGGGAGUCGGGGACCUGCCUGCGGUUCCUCUUGUCAACAGUGGUGAGCAGCAGGUCUCACUGCAUUACCCAGGCUGGCCUUGAACUUGUGGAAUCAGGGGAUCCUCCUGCCUCAGCCUCCUGAGUAGCUGGGACCACAGGGAAGCCCAAUAAUUUUACAGAGGAGAAACCUGGCAGCCACCACUUCACCAACUGGUCAGUUUCCAUUACCAGUCUGUCGACAGCAUGCCAUGGUACCCCAAGGAGGAUGCACUAUCUCUGCUGUGGUGUUCUUGGCAUGACCUUCAUCUAAUCAUGAGUAAACAUCAGACAAAUGCAAACAAUGGGUCAUUCUACAAAAUAACUGGCUGAUACCCUUCACAAGCGUCAAGGUUAUGACAGAGAAAUGCAGUCAAAUGGAAAGUGGGAUCCAGAACUGGAAGCCAGACCAGUUCGGAGGGAGCUAAAUGACAGAGCGUGGCAGGUCAAGGUCAAGGAACCCACAUCUGGUGAGGCAGCGGCAGACCCACAGCUUCUAUGCAAAAGGAUGGAAGGAAGGAGCCGGUGCAAUCCCUGAGGGUUCCUGUUGCUCCCCAUCCUCGCCAGCUUUGGGCAGUAUUAGUGACCCGGAUUUUGACCAUUCUGACAGGACAGCAUCGAGAGCAAUAAGUACUUUCGAGAAGGAAAUUGAAGAAUAAGUGAUUUCCAUCUACCCAGCAGCACCUAACAGUUAACGCGAUGCUCACCAAGGCUCACACACCAUUCGAACCACUUUGCAUAUUUCCUGUGGAUGAGCACAGGCCCUGUGCAGAAGCUGGAAGGUUGGGGCUGAACAGCAAGAACUUUCUUCCCUAGGAAACUUGGGAUCACAAUGCACAAUGGACCAAAGGCCCAGGAGUCCAGACAUUCAGCCCGGUCACAAAGCAGUCUCUGGUGAGGGCUUUGUAAACUGUGAGCCUUCUGAAUGAUGUGGACAAAGUUGACACCAUGAUCCUGAGUCUAAUAGUCAGUGAAAAGGAGCUCAGUUAUUUCCUUCUCCAGAGAAUUUAAGAACAGAGUUGCCUGCACAUCUUGACUAGUUUAGAUAUAGCCUCUCCCGGAAACAGGAGGAUGGAGGAGAUGAACUCUGAGGUCCCCCUGAGCCUAAGGAGUCUGUGAUCAUUACGACCAUGUGUCGGGACCCGGAGACAUUCCCGUUUCCUCUCUUUCACCUGGGGAUCCAGGCUGUGGGGCCCCCUUUGCCUGUGUAUUUAGUAGGUCAUGACCUUUCCCCUGGCCUCCCCUCCUCCUCUCUCGACUCCACUCCCACCCAGCAGCAGGCCCCUGUGUUCUUUCUUUGCCUGGACCAACCCUGAGGAGAACCUGGGUGUGGAUGCAGGACACAGGCGCCCUUCCUUCUGCCUACUUCAUCUCCAGCCCACCUCUGGGCUUUCCAGGCCCAGUCUGGAUCUUUUGCUGGAACUGAACCCAUCCAGGGUGCUAUGGUUUGAAUGCAGAAGCUCACAUGUGAGACAAAGCAAGAAGGGUUAGAGGACAAAUUAUUGGGUUAUGAGAACCUUAACCCAAUCAUUGCAUUAAUCCCCCGAUGGGAUUACCUGAGUGGUAACUGAAGGUGGGUAGGGUAUGGCUGGAGGAGGUGGGUCACUGGGGGUGUGCCUUUGGGGUAUAGAUUUUGUAUCUGGCAAGUGAAACCUCUUGGUGCUUUCUGAUCAUCAUGUGAGCUGCUUCCCUCUGCCACAGUCUUCCGCUAUGAUGUUCAGCCUCACCUCGAAACUCAGGAAUGGAACCUACUUUCUAUGGACUGAGAUCUCUGAAACUGUGAGCCUCCAAAUAAACUUUUCUUUCUCUAAAA